GGUUGCUUGGCAACCAGAGGGUGACAGUUUGAGGAGCUCAGGGAGCUUUGACAAUGUGACUUCAAGAUAGGUGAAGGACAGUAGGAGGCACUGAGUCUGCUGAAAGGAAUCGCAACAUGGAAGCAUCAUUUAAAUAAAGAUUCAUCUCUCUGUGUGAUGAUUCUAAGGAGAUUAUUCAGGAGUGUACAAGACACACACUUAGAUAUUGGAGAAUAUUGGGAGAAAACUGAAGUCUUGUCUGCCUAUUGUGUUGGGUAGCCUCUAAGGGACACACAAUG
rnacentral:lncRNA from 1 species